rnacentral:rRNA from 1 species
GACGAACGCUGGCGGCGUGCCUAAUACAUGCAAGUAGAACGCUGAAGCGAGGAGCUUGCUCUUCUUGGAUGAGUUGCGAACGGGUGAGUAACGCGUAGGUAACCUGCCUUGUAGCGGGGGAUAACUAUUGGAAACGAUAGCUAAUACCGCAUAACAAUGGAUGACACAUGUCAUUUAUUUGAAAGGGGCAAUUGCUCCACUACAAGAUGGACCUGCGUUGUAUUAGCUAGUAGGUGAGGUAAUGGCUCACCUAGGCGACGAUACAUAGCCGACCUGAGAGGGUGAUCGGCCACACUGGGACUGAGACACGGCCCAGACUCCUACGGGAGGCAGCAGUAGGGAAUCGUCGGCAAUGGGGGCAACCCUGACCGAGCAACGCCGCGUGAGUGAAGAAGGUGUUCGGAUCGUAAAGCUCUGUUGUAAGUCAAGAACGGGUGUGAGAGUGGAAAGUGCACACUGUGACGGUAGCUUACCAGAAAGGGACGGCUAACUACGU